rnacentral:tRNA from 2 species
GCACUGGUGGUUCAGUGGCAGAAUUCUCACCUUCCAUGCGAGAGACCCGGGUUCGAUUCCUGGCCAGUGCA